AACGCGAAGAACCUUACCUGGGUUUGACAUCCUCGGACAUCCGUAGAGAUACGGCUUUGGUAGCAAUACCACCGAGAGACAGGUGCUGCAUGGCUGUCGUCAGCUCGUGUGGUGACAUGUUGGGUUAAGUCCCGCAACGAGCGCAACCCCUGUCCUUAGUUGCCAGCAUUCAGUUGGGCACUCUAGGGAGACUGCCGUGGUGAACACGGAGGAAGGUGGGGAUGACGUCAAGUCCUCAUGGCCUUUAUAUCCAGGGCGACACACGUGAUACAAUGGACGGUACAGAGGGUAGCGAAGUGGCGACACGGAGCUAAUCCCAAAAAGCCGUUCUCAGUUCGGAUUGGAGUCUGCAAUUCGACUCCAUGAAGUUGGAAUCGCUAGUAAUCGCGGAUCAGCACGCCGCGGUGAAUACGUUCCCGGGCCUUGUACACACCGUAGAGAC
rnacentral:rRNA from 1 species